rnacentral:miRNA from 1 species
CAUACUCGCCAGUUUAGGAAG